AGUGGAGGCUCUGGGGGGUGUACCAACAGCAGAGCAAUCAACGGUGUUCACUUUGAACCCAAAAUUCAAAAUCUAUUAACUAUUUAUAUGUCAAAUAAAUGACUGAAAAUGUUUACUCUACAGACUGAUAGAAGUUGAGGAGGUAAUCAUCGCUCUCCUCCCUCCUCAGAGGAGCACACAGACUGAUAGAAGUUGAGGAGGUAAUCAUCUCUCUCCUCCCUCCUCAGAGGAGCACACAGACUGAUAGAAGUUGAGGAGGUAAUCAUCGCUCUCCUCCCUCCUCAGAGGAGCACACAGACUGAUAGAAGUUGAGGAGGUAAUCAUCUCUCUCCUCCCUCCUCAGAGGAGCACACAGACUGAUAGAAGUUGAGGAGGUAAUCAUCGCUCUCCUCCCUCCUCAGAGGAGCACACAGACUGAUAGAAGUUGAGGAGGUAAUCAUCUCUCUCCUCCCUCCUCAGAGGAGCACACAGACUGAUAGAAGUUGAGGAGGUAAUCAUCGCUCUCCUCCCUCCUCAGAGGAGCACACAGACUGAUAGAAGUUGAGGAGGUAAUAAUCUCUCUCCUCCCUCCUCAGAGGAGCACACAGACUGAUAGAAGUUGAGGAGGUAAUCAUCGCUCUCCUCCCUCCUCAGAGGAGCACACAGACUGAUAGAAGUUGAGGAGGUAAUCAUCGCUCUCCUCCCUCCUCAGAGGAGCACACAGACUGAUAGAAGUUGCGGAGGUAAUCAUCGCUCUCCUCCCUCCUCAGAGGAGCACACAGACUGAUAGAAGUUGAGGAGGUAAUCAUCGCUCUCCUCCCUCCUCAGAGGAGCACACAGACUGAUAGAAGUUGAGGAGGUAAUCAUCUCUCUCCUCCCUCCUCAGAGGAGCACACAGACUGAUAGAAGUUGAGGAGGUAAUCAUCUCUCUCCUCCCUCCUCAGAGGAGCACACAGACUGAUAGAAGUUGAGGAGGUAAUCAUCGCUCUCCUCCCUCCUCAGAGGAGCACACAGACUGAUAGAAGUUGAGGAGGUAAUCAUCGCUCUCCUCCCUCCUCAGAGGAGCACACAGACUGAUAGAAGUUGAGGAGGUAAUCAUCUCUCUCCUCCCUCCUCAGAGGAGCACACAGACUGAUAGAAGUUGAGGAGGUAAUCAUCGCUCUCCUCCCUCCUCAGAGGAGCACACAGACUGAUAGAAGUUGAGGAGGUAAUCAUCUCUCUCCUCCCUCCUCAGAGGAGCACACAGACUGAUAGAAGUUGAGGAGGUAAUCAUCGCUCUCCUCCCUCCUCAGAGGAGCACACAGACUGAUAGAAGUUGAGGAGGUAAUAAUCUCUCUCCUCCCUCCUCAGAGGAGCACACAGACUGAUAGAAGUUGAGGAGGUAAUCAUCGCUCUCCUCCCUCCUCAGAGGAGCACACAGACUGAUAGAAGUUGAGGAGGUAAUCAUCUCUCUCCUCCCUCCUCAGAGGAGCACACAGACUGAUAGAAGUUGAGGAGGUAAUCAUCGCUCUCCUCCCUCCUCAGAGGAGCACACAGACUGAUAGAAGUUGAGGAGGUAAUAAUCUCUCUCCUCCCUCCUCAGAGGAGCACACAGACUGAUAGAAGUUGAGGAGGUAAUCAUCGCUCUCCUCCCUCCUCAGAGGAGCACACAGACUGAUAGAAGUUGAGGAGGUAAUCAUCGCUCUCCUCCCUCCUCAGAGGAGCACACAGACUGAUAGAAGUUGCGGAGGUAAUCAUCGCUCUCCUCCCUCCUCAGAGGAGCACACAGACUGAUAGAAGUUGAGGAGGUAAUCAUCGCUCUCCUCCCUCCUCAGAGGAGCACACAGACUGAUAGAAGUUGAGGAGGUAAUCAUCUCUCUCCUCCCUCCUCAGAGGAGCACACAGACUGAUAGAAGUUGAGGAGGUAAUCAUCUCUCUCCUCCCUCCUCAGAGGAGCACACAGACUGAUAGAAGUUGAGGAGGUAAUCAUCGCUCUCCUCCCUCCUCAGAGGAGCACACAGACUGAUAGAAGUUGAGGAGGUAAUCAUCGCUCUCCUCCCUCCUCAGAGGAGCACACAGACUGAUAGAAGUUGAGGAGGUAAUCAUCUCUCUCCUCCCUCCUCAGAGGAGCACACAGACUGAUAGAAGUUGAGGAGGUAAUCAUCGCUCUCCUCCCUCCUCAGAGGAGCACACAGACUGAUAGAAGUUGAGGAGGUAAUCAUCGCUCUCCUCCCUCCUCAGAGGAGCACACAGACUGAUAGAAGUUGAGGAGGUAAUCAUCUCUCUCCUCCCUCCUCAGAGGAGCACACAGACUGAUAGAAGUUGAGGAGGUAAUCAUCGCUCUCCUCCCUCCUCAGAGGAGCACACAGACUGAUAGAAGUUGAGGAGGUAAUCAUCGCUCUCCUCCCUCCUCAGAGGAGCACACAGACUGAUAGAAGUUGAGGAGGUAAUCAUCUCUCUCCUCCCUCCUCAGAGGAGCACACAGACUGAUAGAAGUUGAGGAGGUAAUCAUCGCUCUCCUCCCUCCUCAGAGGAGCACACAGACUGAUAGAAGUUGAGGAGGUAAUAAUCUCUCUCCUCCCUCCUCAGAGGAGCACACAGACUGAUAGAAGUUGAGGAGGUAAUCAUCGCUCUCCUCCCUCCUCAGAGGAGCACACAGACUGAUAGAAGUUGAGGAGGUAAUCAUCGCUCUCCUCCCUCCUCAGAGGAGCACACAGACUGAUAGAAGUUGCGGAGGUAAUCAUCGCUCUCCUCCCUCCUCAGAGGAGCACACAGACUGAUAGAAGUUGAGGAGGUAAUCAUCGCUCUCCUCCCUCCUCAGAGGAGCACACAGACUGAUAGAAGUUGAGGAGGUAAUCAUCUCUCUCCUCCCUCCUCAGAGGAGCACACAGACUGAUAGAAGUUGAGGAGGUAAUCAUCUCUCUCCUCCCUCCUCAGAGGAGCACACAGACUGAUAGAAGUUGAGGAGGUAAUCAUCGCUCUCCUCCCUCCUCAGAGGAGCACACAGACUGAUAGAAGUUGAGGAGGUAAUCAUCUCUCUCCUCCCUCCUCAGAGGAGCACACAGACUGAUAGAAGUUGAGGAGGUAAUCAUCGCUCUCCUCCCUCCUCAGAGGAGCACACAGACUGAUAGAAGUUGAGGAGGUAAUCAUCUCUCUCCUCCCUCCUCAGAGGAGCACACAGACUGAUAGAAGUUGAGGAGGUAAUCAUCUCUCUCCUCCCUCCUCAGAGGAGCACACAGACUGAUAGAAGUUGAGGAGGUAAUCAUCUCUCUCCUCCCUCCUCAGAGGAGCACACAGACUGAUAGAAGUUGAGGAGGUAAUCAUCUCUCUCCUCCCUCCUCAGAGGAGCACACAGACUGAUAGAAGUUGAGGAGGUAAUCAUCGCUCUCCUCCCUCCUCAGAGGAGCACACAGACUGAUAGAAGUUGAGGAGGUAAUCAUCGCUCUCCUCCCUCCUCAGAGGAGCACACAGACUGAUAGAAGUUGAGGAGGUAAUCAUCGCUCUCCUCCCUCCUCAGGAGCACACAGACUGAUAGAAGUUGAGGAGGUAAUCAUCGCUCUCCUCCCUCCUCAGAGGAGCACACAGACUGAUAGAAGUUGAGGAGGUAAUAAUCUCUCUCCUCCCUCCUCAGAGGAGCACACAGACUGAUAGAAGUUGAGGAGGUAAUCAUCUCUCUCCUCCCUCCUCAGAGGAGCACACAGACUGAUAGAAGUUGAGGAGGUAAUCAUCGCUCUCCUCCCUCCUCAGAGGAGCACACAGACUGAUAGAAGUUGAGGAGGUAAUCAUCUCUCUCCUCCCUCCUCAGAGGAGCACACAGACUGGAGAAGAAGGAAAACUGACCUAAUGACAUAAACUUUAACAUCUGAUAGCUAUACUAACAAGGACUGCUAUUGGUGCAGCAGACGAUAAUACAACUUUCACUUACAUAAUCAAUUUAAUAAUAAUACUAAUACUAAUAAUAAUAAUGAUAAUACAUAAUAACUUUCACAUAAUCAAUUUUAUAUUGAACAACUUUGCUUUUUGUUGUUGAAAUAAUUGUCAUCUUUGUAAUAUUUUGGGGGGAUUGAAAUGAGCACCGUCCCUUCCAUUUUGUUCUGUUGGUUUUACCGUGACAACAGAUGUAUUUACCGUGACAACAGAUGUAUUUACCGUGACAACAGAUGUAUUUACCGUGACAACAGAUGUAUUUACCGUGACAACAGAUGUAUUUACCAUGACAACAGAAGUACUGCAUUUCUAAGCCAUUUUACUUUGUUCUGUAGGACCUUUUGGAACAAAGCUAUUUAGAUCUGAAUAUAUUUAACAGUUAAAAGAAUGAUAAGGGGAGGUGCUUAAAUGAAUAAAAACAUAACAAACACUUAACACACGUUUCUUGUUUUGUGUUCAUACUGUAUCUUUUCUGUAAGUAUAUCAAAUAUAAUACCUUUAGAAUUUGCGAGAUCUUUUAAAAGAUACUGUAGGGGAGACUG